rnacentral:tRNA from 1 species
GCCGACUUAGCUCAAUCCGGCAGAGCAACUGAAUCGUAAUCAGUAGGUUGUAGGUUCAAUUCCUAUAGUCGGCACCA